UGUAGUAGUCCUGAUUUUGUGCCUUCUGUGUUUGUGUACACAAAACCGAGCCAGAACCCCGAAGCAAAAUUGGAGAGGUAACAUAGGAAAAGGAGGAGAGAUGAUAGACCAAUAACGGCAGCAAAUCUAUGUGUUUCUUCUAAAACUUUGAAACAAGAAUGCAGCAUGGAUCAUUGUCCAGCUGAAGACGACAUCCCAGUUACAAUAUGAUGACCUGAACCAGAGACACUGUCAGCUUCAGGAGGACUAUGUACACCUGUGUCAGAAGUUUGAGGCACUACAAGCAGAAAAUGUAAAGCUGAAUGAGGAGCUGCAGAAAUCUACAUUUUCCUACACAACUGUUAAGUGCAACAUUGGACAAUUGUUUUUUCUCACCGGUCUGACCUCCGUGCUCUUUGAGUGGCUAGUUACAAAAAUAACAGGCAGCUUAGAAUUAUCCAAAAACUUACACUAGAAGACCACCUGUUGGUUAUAUUGAUGAAAUUAAGGUUGGAUCUAUGUAAUACUGACUUGGCAUAUAGAUUUAAAGUAUCAAAAACCACGAUUUCAAAUAUUUUGCGGAGCUGGGUCCCUGGUAUGGCCUUGGUCCUUAAGCCACUCAUUAAAUGGCCAAGUAAGGGCGCAAUACUUAAAAAUAUGCCAAAAACAUUCAAGCGGAACUUUAAAAACUGCCGGUGCAUAAUAGACUGCACAGAAAUUUUCAUAGCUAGACCCAGUAAUCUGACUGCUAGGGCCCAGACAUGGUCAAAUUAUAAACACAACAACACAAUUAAAUAUUUAAUCGGCAUCACUCCAGCUGGUGCAAUUUCAUUUCUAUCUCCUGGGUGGGGUGGACGGGUUUCAGACAAGCAGAUCACAAAAGAGUCAGGUUUCUUAGAACUUUUGGA